rnacentral:rRNA from 1 species
GUCUUUUUGAAAUAAUAAUUUAAAGUCUAAUCUGCCCACUGAUAGGUUAUAUUAAAGGGCUGCAGUAUUUUGACUGUACAAAGGUAGCAUAAUCAUUAGUCUCUUAAUUGGUGACUUGUAUGAAUGAUUGGAUGAAAUAUAAGCUGUUUCUUAUUUAUUUAUAGAAUUUAAUUUUUUCAUUAAAAAGUGAAAAUAAAUUUAAAAGACGAGAAGACCCCAUAGAGUUUUAUAUAUGAAAUAAUUUAAUAAUUAUGUUUAAGAGAAUUAAUUAAAAUUAUUUAUUAUAUUUUAUUGGGGUGAUAAAAAAAUUAAGAAAACUUUUUUAUAAUUUUUCCAUAAAUAAGUGAAUAAAUGAUCCACUAUUAUUGAUUAAAAGAAAAAAUUACCUUGGGGAUAACAGCGUAAUUUUUUCUUUUAGUUCAAAUAGGAGAAAGAGUUUGCGACCUCGAUGUUGGAUUAAGAUAAAAUUUAAAUGCAAAAGUUUAAAAUUUUGAUCUGUUCGAUCAUUAAAAUCUUACAUGAUCUGAGUUCAAACCGGUGUAAGCCAGGUUGGUUUCUAUCUUUAAAUAAAUUAAAUAUUUUAGUACGAAAGGAUUGAAUAUUUAAAAUAAUUUUUAAUUUUAGAAUUUUAUUAAUUUGAUUAUAGAAUUAAAAUUUUUAUUUUAUUAAUAUAU